GCCACCCUAGUAUAAAUAGUACCUGUAGCUUGCACCUACAUAGAGACCAAGGUCGAGUGACA
rnacentral:tRNA from 1 species